CCUACGGGAGGCAGCAGUAGGGAAUCUUUCACAAUGGGCGAAAGCCUGAUGGAGCAACGCCGCGUGCAGGAUGAAGGCCUUCGGGUUGUAAACUGCUUUUAUAAGCGAGAAAUAUGAUGGUAACUUAUGAAUAAGGAUCGGCUAACUACGUGCCAGCAGCCGCGGUAAUACGUCGGUGGCAAGCGUUAUCCGGAUUUACUGGGUGUAAAGGGCGUGUAGGCGGGAGUGCAAGUCAGAUGUGAAAACUAUGGGCUCAACCCAUAGCCUGCAUUUGAAACUGUACUUCUUGAGUGCUGGAGAGGCAAUCGGAAUUCGGGGUGUAGCGGUGAAAUGCGUAGAUAUACGGAGGAACACCAGUGGCGAAGGCGGAUUGCUGGACAGUAACUGACGCUGAGGCGCGAAAGCGUGGGGAGCAAACAGGAUUAGAUACCCCUGUAGUC
rnacentral:rRNA from 1 species